CCUACGGGGUGCAGCAGUGGGGAAUAUUGGACAAUGGGCGAAAGCCUGAUCCAGCCAUGCCGCGUGUGUGAAGAAGGCCUUCGGGUUGUAAAGCACUUUCAGUGGGGAAGAAAGCCUUGGGGCUAAUACCCUCGGAAGGACAUCACCCACAGAAGAAGCACCGGCUAACUCCGUGCCAGCAGCCGCGGUAAUACGGAGGGUGCGAGCGUUAAUCGGAAUUACUGGGCGUAAAGCGCGCGUAGGCGGUCUGAUAAGCCGGUUGUGAAAGCCCCGGGCUCAACCUGGGAACGGCAUCCGGAACUGUCAGGCUAGAGUGCAGGAGAGGAAGGUAGAAUUCCCGGUGUAGCGGUGAAAUGCGUAGAGAUCGGGAGGAAUACCAGUGGCGAAGGCGGCCUUCUGGACUGACACUGACGCUGAGGUGCGAAAGCGUGGGUAGCAAACAGGAUUAGAUACCCCAGUAGUC
rnacentral:rRNA from 1 species